rnacentral:lncRNA from 1 species
ACUCUAGUCUUUCUUUUGAUUUUCCAGCUACUAGAUAUGAUUAAACCUGUAAUAAAUGGAGUGAAGCCUCUAUAUUACAUUCUCCAGGGAGUUUUUUGUGGUAAUUUAUUAAAUAAAAAGAUAAAUUCUGUUGGGCUAAUAUAUUUGUUUUAAUUGAGCUUUGAGGGUGUUGUACAUUUGAAUGACUUUUACCCAGUAGAUACUGAAAUAUGUUUUUUAAUUAUAAGUUUGGUGUACAUAUGUGGGAAACCAGCAAAGUUCCAUAUAGUAUAGUCUUGGCUUAGUGAGAUAAAAGUUAUAGAAGAGGACAUUGGAAAUCUAGCCACACUGUGGCUAAUAGGCUUGGUUCUCUGAAAUAAAAGUAUAAUUCAGGGCCAAUAAUGUGGAAGGCAUUGAGAAGCAUAUCCACCAAGGAGCAACAUUAUGGUCAUUUUGUCUUUGUUAUUACUUACUGCUUUAUUCUGAGAACAAUACAGGCAUUAAAGUUCUAGAAGCUUCACAGAUCAUUAAUCAUCAACAUAAAUUCAGUGAAUUAGAAUUCUUUCUUCAAAAGUAUGUGUCAACUUCAGAUUGCAGAUUUGCCAAAGCUUCAUGUAGAGCCCUUCUCUCUUUUAUCACGAGUAAAAGUUCAGGUUUAAAAUAGAACAACGGAUGACUAAUGCCAUUUCCAGCUGUGACUGAAUUCUCCACUGCCUGAUGCUUUUCAAAUGUAUCUGAAUCAGAAUCGAACACCCACUUUAUGCAUAGCUCCCUAAUCAGGAAGUUAUUCUUCCCAUCAAAGCAACUGGAAAGAAAAAAGAUAAAACAAUGAAGGGAGGAGAAAACACAAAAGUUCAAGAAGAGCAGAAUGUUCCGGCAAGGAGAAAAAGCUGGGAAAAGUCACCAAUGAAUGCCAGGGUUCACCACUAUCUUAGGAAUAUCAUGAAUAAAGCGUUAGAUUGGGUGUGCCCUAACUGAUGGUCACAAGCAUGAUACUAAUUAUCAGGGUGAACAAAGCAGGGGAGUAAGAGCAUCAGUAACUGUGAAACUCUAGGAGUUUGUCUUCAUUCUUUCAGUGAUAGAAUAUCUAGCAUUUGUAUUUCGUACAUCAUACACUUGAGUUAGUAUCUGUGGAAAGGAUAAAUACAUAAGGAAAAGAGAUGCAGGAAGCUGCAGAGACACUGGCCAUUUAUCUGAGAAGUGCCCAAUGAGGCAUCACCGGAUAAGCACACGUCGGGUCGUUCUCCUGCUUCAGUAAGGUCUGUGGCGUUGACAUUAUCAAUGCUAUGGAUGCCUCAAGGCUCUCAUAAAAAUACAUGGCUUCAGCAAUACGCAUGCAGUUAUCUCAGUUUAAAGGAAAUGGGUUCUGCUCCCUGCUUAAUAAGAAAUCCUGCUUACUUCUCCAGCUUUUGAAGCACAGAUUAUUUUUCUUCUCUUCAUCAUAUAAAAAUGGAAAUUAUCAAAACAAAACAUCAUCAAAACAAAACAUCAUCAAAAACAGGUUGCUCUCUGAGUAAAGGUUUUAUGUUUGUUUGGGAUAGAAUCUCAUUCUGUCACCCAGGCCAGAGAGCACUGACAUUAUCAUGGCUCACUGCAACCUCAAACUCCCAAGCUCAAGCGAUCCUCCCACCUCAGCCUCCCAAGUAGCUGGGACCACAGAUUCACCUGUUUGCUUCCUAAGACAGAAAAUAAAUAGGAGGAAAAGGAUCAGAGUCAAAAUUCUGAUAGGCCGCUCCAUUGGGAAGUCAAGACGGUAUCUUAAGUGCUGUAUUCCACUCGAUGCUCUAUUUUCCUGCUUGCUGCAGUAACUGUGGUUUCAUACAGAGUAUUAGAACUACCAGGGGCAAACCAGAGACAACAACAUCUACCUCAGAGUAAUAUUUUUGAGAUUAAAUG